rnacentral:rRNA from 1 species
CCUACGGGUGGCAGCAGUGAGGAAUAUUGGUCAAUGGCCGAGAGGCUGAACCAGCCAAGUCGCGUGAGGGAAGACGGCCCUACGGGUUGUAAACCUCUUUUGUCGGGGAGUAAAGAGAGUCACGUGUGACUCAUUGAGAGUACCCGAAGAAAAAGCAUCGGCUAACUCCGUGCCAGCAGCCGCGGUAAUACGGAGGAUGCGAGCGUUAUCCGGAUUUAUUGGGUUUAAAGGGUGCGUAGGCGGAGGUGUAAGUCAACGGUAAAAUUGUGGGGCUCAACCCCGUACUGCCGUUGAAACUGGAUGCCUUGAGUGCGCUAGAAGUAUGCGGAAUGCGUGGUGUAGCGGUGAAAUGCAUAGAUAUCACGCAGAACUCCGAUUGCGAAGGCAGCAUACCGGCGCGCAACUGACGCUGAUGCACGAAAGCGUGGGUAUCGAACAGGAUUAGAUACCCUGGUAGUC